rnacentral:lncRNA from 1 species
CCAAAAAUUCCCUCAAAAUUCCCAAAAAUUCCCAUUAAAAUCCCCUCAAAACUCCCCAAAUUCCCCAAAUUCCUGGAAUUUUCUCAGAAUUUCCCCCGAGGAUUUUCGGGAUUUUCUGCCCAUCCCAAAACCUGGCUGGACCCUCCCACGAUUUUGGGAAAUUCUCAAAUUUUUUUCCCAUUUUUUGGUUUUUUUUUUGUUUUUUUUUGCACUAUAUUUAUAGGGGGAGCCCCAUUCCAGAAUUUUGGAGAUUUUUGGGGAAAAUUCCUGGGAUUUUGGGUGGAAUUUUGGGGAAUUUUUAAGCAAAAUUCUGGGAUUUUGGGGGAAAUUUCCCAGAAUUUUGGGCAGAAUUCCUGGGAUUUUGUGUGGGAUUUUGGGCAGAAUUCUGGGAUUUUUUUUGGAAUUUUUUGGAAUAUUUGGGGAGAAUUCUGGGAUUUUUUUGUGGAAUUUUUUGGGGAUUUUUUGUGGAUUUUUUUGUGGAUUUUUUUGUGGAAUUUUUUGUGGAAUUUUGGGCCAAAUUCUGGGAUUUUGGGGGGAAAUUUCUGGGAUUUUGUUUGGAAUUUUGGGGGAUUUUGGGGCAGAAUUCCGGGAUUUUGUGUGGAAUAAAUCCAUGGAUGGACAGCCAGGAGUUGGUUUGGAACUGGGAUGAACUGGGAUGAACUGGGAUGAACUGGGAUGGAACUGGGACCAGUCUGGCCCAGUAUCAAACUGGGAAUGGGAGCAGGAUCUGGGCCCAGUAUCAGCCUUGGAAUGGCCCCAGUUUGGACCAGUACGGUG